rnacentral:lncRNA from 1 species
CUUUAAAGAGGUUAAAGUUAACUCAAGAUCUCAUUUAAAAAAAUUAAUUAAAAAAUAUUAUUUAAAUUUUUAAUUUUAUAUAAAUAAUAUUUUCAGAAUCAAAUCGAAUAUUGGAUCGGAAUGAAAAAAAAUGUCAGAAAUCAAUCGGGUCAAUCGAUCGGCCCGAUCAAUUGAUCCAAAAUUCUGCCAUUCUAAAAGAGAUAGAGUAGACCCUUCCAUUCUAGAGAACAAUGACAAGGGCAAACAUGGAUCCAUCUAGAUCCGCCAAAAGAGCAGAGAUCGUGACCCUUUUGUUGCUCUCAUGGGUGCCCUUCAUGGAGAGGAUCGAGGCAAGGACCCUGAUUGCCACCUCCACUGUCUCCAAUCCGACAUCCUCCUUGACAAUCUAGGUGGCGAGGGCGGUCGCGAGGCCUCCCACGACGAGCAGAUGGUUCUUCUCGAGGUCCUCAAUGGCGGGGUUGGAGAAGAAGGCGGUGAGGUCGUGGAAAGCGAGGAAGAGAUCGAUGGAGAAGGAUAUCUCAUCGGCGACGGCGGUGCGGAGGAGGAGAUGGAGGACCAGAGAUGGAUGAGGCAGCAGAGGGUGAGGUUGGGGAUGAGGUCGGUGG